rnacentral:rRNA from 1 species
AUUGAACGCUGGCGGCAUGCUUUACACAUGCAAGUCGAACGGUAACAGGGAGCUUGCUCCGCUGACGAGUGGCGAACGGGUGAGUAAUGCGUCGGAACGUGCCGAGUAGUGGGGGAUAACGCAGCGAAAGUUGUGCUAAUACCGCAUACGUACUGAGGUAGAAAGUGGGGGACCUUCGGGCCUCACGCUAUUCGAGCGGCCGACGUCUGAUUAGCUAGUAGGUGAGGUAAAGGCUCACCUAGGCGACGAUCAGUAGCGGGUCUGAGAGGAUGGUCCGCCACACUGGGACUGAGACACGGCCCAGAUUCCUACGGGAGGCAGCAGUGGGGAAUUUUGGACAAUGGGCGAAAGCCUGAUCCAGCCAUGCCGCGUGUCUGAAGAAGGCCUUCGGGUUGUAAAGGACUUUUGUCGGGGAGGAAAUCCCCAGCGCUAAUACCGCUGGGGGAUGACAGUACCUGAAGAAUAAGCACCGGCUAACUACGUGCCAGCAGCCGCGGUAACAC